rnacentral:ncRNA from 2 species
GUACUUUUGUCGCGCAACGGUUCCGAAGCCGCCCCGAACGGGCGCCGGGAUUAAAAGGGAAUGCCGUGCAAAUCGGCAACAGUUCCCGCUGCUGUGAGUUACGAUCCUCGAUCCGGCACUCUUGGCCACUGCCCCCGACAAGGGGACGGGAAGGCGCCGGAACGGUAACGAGUCAGAAGACCUGCCGUCGCGAUUCCGCCCGA